rnacentral:rRNA from 1 species
UACGUAGGGUGCAAGCGUUGUCCGGAAUUAUUGGGCGUAAAGAGCUCGUAGGCGGUCUGUCGCGUCGGCUGUGAAAACCCGGAGCUCAACUCCGGGCCUGCAGUCGAUACGGGCAAACUGGAGUGUUGCAGGGGAGACUGGAAUUCCUGGUGUAGCGGUGAAAUGCGCAGAUAUCAGGAGGAACACCGGUGGCGAAGGCGGGUCUCUGGGCAGUAACUGACGCUGAGGAGCGAAAGCGUGGGUAGCAAACAGG